UAAAAAAUACAAUUCAAAUUUUUACUUUAAGACAUUUUAAGCCACAAAAUUUCAAAAGCAAUAAAGAUGAAGUAAACUAACGCAUUUGUUCAUUAACUGUAUUGGUUUUGAAUUGAAAAGAAAAAUGUUUUGUUAUUUGAUUUGAGUAUUUUUCAACUUAAGUUUUACAUCAUAUUCGGCCAAUAUCAUUAUGGGUGUGCAAAUUAAAGGGCACCUCCUAGUAUCUGGGCCGAGUGAAGGUUUUCAAAAACCAACGUAUAAUAAUACAAAAAUAAAACUUAAAAAUUGUAUAUUAAUAAUUAGUGCACACAAAUAAGAUUUGAUUGGUGCAGUCAGAGAAAAGUUUCACACUCAAGGUUUUGUUUUUGUUAGUGAAAGAGAUAAAGGAUUUUAAAACCGUUUCGAUAGACCAGGGUUCAAAUCAAAAUGGUUUCUGAAUAUCACUAACAAAAUGAAACAUAUUGAGUUGCCCGAGAAGAUACCAGUGACGUUUUAAAAGAAAGAGAAUACACUGACGUUGCAAGUUCAAGGUUAUAUAGUGGAUGUAACAACAGUUUCCAGGCAAGAUCUCUCAGUUUUUGGCGAGUCACCAAAUGUUGUGUACAUUGUCUUGGAGAAGUGGGUCGUUUUGAAGAUUCGUUUCUUGGAAGCAGACACCUGGAACCAAGUUCUAUUCUCUCGAAAAGUAAAUAAUACUUCCUUCACGGGAAAGGAAUCGCCGAAUGUUUGACUUUGUGGCCGGGUCUGCUAGUUUAAUUAUAAAACAAAACCAAAAUUCUGAAUCCGGUAGCAAAAAUCUGACUUAUUUACAUUAAAUUGUUCAUAUAAGGACUCAUAUACUUAAGUAAAUAGCUUCGUCGACUUCGUUCCAGAAAUUUUGAUGUAAAAGGAGCUCCACGUUGUCGAAGGCCAAUAGUCGCAAAUGUCGAUAAAAUAAUGGAAAUCGUCAAGUCUGGCCAUCAGACGAGCACUGUUUCGAUUACCCAAUAAACUCUUUGGAAUCACUUGAAGAAUGGUGGAUACACCGAGAAACCUGUCCCAACGAAAGACAACAGCAUUAACCGAAUUUCAAUUUGUGAAUCGCUGCUGCAUCGUACUAAAAUCGAUCCAUUUCUAAAG